rnacentral:lncRNA from 1 species
UGCUGCUGUAAUGUAUAGCAUGGCAACUAUGAUGGCAAUAAUACUCUACUGCAUCUUUGAACAUCGUUAACAAAGCAAAGUUUAAAAGUUCUUACCACAAGCAAAAAAAUACUGUAAUAUGUGUGGUGAUGGAUGUUAACUAGACUUAUUUUGGCAACCCUUCCACAAUAUAUACAAAUAUCAAAUAAUUAAGUUCUGCACUUGAAACUAAUGUUGUAUGUCAAUUAUACCUCAAUUUUAAAGUGUCCAUUAAUAAAUAUAUCAUUCUGUUCACUCUGACCUAAGGCCCUCAUAGGGUGAAAAGACCAGUAGCGUUUCUUCAUAAUGGGGAGGUUUUCUAAUAACACAGGAUCACAUAGCUCUAUAUAAAAAUAUUUAAAAACUAACCUCAAGGGACAUUUUGGUAUAAAUACUAUUUAUACUAUGCAAAUACUUUUAAAAAGUACUGCAGUUUCUGAGAAGUUGAUCAUAAGACAGAUUAGGGAGGAAGAAAAAAAAUCCAGACCAGCAAUUUACAAAUCAGCUCCUCUAGGACAGAAGAUGUACUUAACAAACAAACUUUUUUCAAGACACAGAGACCCAGAUCAGACUUCUUCCAUGGCUGCGCUUGCUGGUCUCCACACAAUGAGAAAUAGAUACUUAAGGUUGCUGCCAUGAUUUGGUUCUUCAUCUGAGGUGAUCUUCACUGGCCCCUUGGAGAGUUGUGAUG